rnacentral:rRNA from 1 species
GGACGAACGCUGGCGGCGUGCUUAACACAUGCAAGUCGAGCGAUGAAGCUCCUUCGGGAGUGGAUUAGCGGCGGACGGGUGAGUAACACGUGGGUAACCUGCCUCAUAGAGGGGAAUAGCCUUUCGAAAGGAAGAUUAAUACCGCAUAAGAUUGUAGUACCGCAUGGUACAGCAAUUAAAGGAGUAACCCGCUAUGAGAUGGACCCGCGUCGCAUUAGCUAGUUGGUGAGGUAACGGCUCACCAAGGCGACCGAUGCGUAGCCGACCUGAGAGGGUGAUCGGCCACAUUGGGACUGAGACACGGCCCAGACUCCUACGGGAGGCAGCAGUGGGGAAUAUUGCACGAUGGGGGAAACCCUGAUGCCAGCAACGCCGCGUGAGUGAUGACGGUCUUCGGAUUGUAAAACUCUGUCUUUAGGGACGAUAAUGACGGUACCUAAGGAGGAAGCCACGGCUAACUACGUGCCAGCCGCUGC